GGGCACGGACACCUCUCGCCUGCCACUGUGCGCAUGUGAGUCGGUGGGAACGAGCGCACAGCAGGCAGUGAUACGGCAAGGUGUCAGACAUGGCACACAACUCACUCAUCGCAUACAAUUCCACCUCUGCCAAACAUUUAAUUAAGAGAGAGAAGGGACUGCUUCUGUGUCUACCGGAUACUUUAGAUCACUGGCACAGGAGAAGGACGCAGAGAUAGAUAAAGAGAGGCGCAGAGGUAGAUCAAAGGAUAGAGGAGCUGUGAGUGCCGCUGCCUCAUCGUAUCCUUCAUUCCUCUUCUUCCUAUUGUUAUCUUCAGCUGUGUUCGUCUCCGGCGAGGCUACUUCUCUCCUGCCGUUGGCUAACCUUGCGGCCCUCACUUUUGAGGAAGGUUACACGCAGUUCUUCAGACUCCAAUCUCAUGCUUCACGGCGACGGAAGGACCGUCCAUCUCUCUCUCGAUCAGAGAAAAGGUGCUGGAUUUGCGUCGCAAGACCUCUAUUUGCAUGGGUUCUUCAGCGCCUCCAUCAAGCUUCCCUCCGACUACGCGAGUUGUUGUCGCCUUCUAUAGGGGGGCACAGCACCAGCCCGACCCAGAUGCUCAGCAGGAGGAGUCAGAGUAGGAUGAGUUUUUUCUCGCACUAUUUCCUGACGCGGCCGCUCCUGCCCCAGCACCAGCUCGAGCCCCACGUCCCGCUCCUCGCACUCUAGCCGAUCGAGUAUCCGGACUAGAGAGAGCUAUGUCGAGCCUCCAGCAGGAGUCUUCCGAGUUUCACCGAGACAUACGGUGAGAGGUUUCCGACUUACGACGAGAGGUGCGACAGGAGGUCUCCGAUCUACGACGAGAUGUGCGGCAGGAGAUCUCCGACCUGCGACGAGACCUGCGAGAGGAUGAUCGGAUCCGACAUACUGAGCUGUUGGCACUACUUCGUUCUCUGGGUUCUGGACCACCUCCUUCAACAUCUCAGUAAUUAUGUUUGUUAUAUAACUCUGUUAUGACACUAUUACAGAUCUUGUAGUACAUCUUGAUUAUUGAUUAUCACUUCAGAUUUGAUUGGUUCUCUUUUAA